UACAGAGGUCUCAAGCGUUUGUUCGGAUUCAUUGGGCGUAAAGGGUGCGUAGGCGGCGCGGUAAGUCGGGGUGUGAAAUCUCGGAGCUUAACUCCGAAACUGCAUUCGAUACUGCCGUGCUUGAGGACUGGAGAGGAGACUGGAAUUUACGGUGUAGCGGUGAAAUGCGUAGAUAUCGUAAGGAAGACCGUGGCGAAGGCGGGUCUCUGGACAGUUCCUGACGCUGAGGCACGAAGGUCAGGGGAGCAAACGGG
rnacentral:rRNA from 1 species